rnacentral:rRNA from 1 species
CCUCUGUUGCUUUGGCGGGCCGCGGUCCUCCGCGGCCGCCCCCCUCCCCGGGGGGUGGCCAGCGCCCGCCAGAGGACCAUCAAACUCCAGUCAGUAAACGAUGCAGUCUGAAAAACAUUUAAUAAACUAAAACUUUCAACAACGGAUCUCUUGGUUCUGGCAUCGAUGAAGAACGCAGCGAAAUGCGAUAAGUAAUGUGAAUUGCAGAAUUCAGUGAAUCAUCGAAUCUUUGAACGCACAUUGCGCCCUUUGGUAUUCCGAAGGGCAUGCCUGUUCGAGCGUCAUUACAACCCUCAAGCUCUGCUUGGUAUUGGGCACCGUCCUUUGCGGGCGCGCCUCAAAGACCUCGGCGGUGGCGUCUUGCCUCAAGCGUAGUAGAACAUACAUCUCGCUUCGGAGCGCAGGGCGUCGCCCGCCGGACGAACCUUCUGAACUUUUCUCAAGGUUGACCUCGGAUCAGGUAGGGAUACCCGCUGAACUUAAGCAUAUCAAUAAGCGGAGGAAAAGAAACCAACAGGGAUUGCCUUAGUAACGGCGAGUGAAGCGGCAACAGCUCAAAUUUGAAAGCUGGCUCCUUUGGAGUCCGCGUUGUAAUUUGUAGAGGAUGAUUCGGCAAGGGCUCCCGCCUAAGUCUCCUGGAACGGAGCGUCAUAGAGGGUGAGAAUCCCGUAUGCGGUGGGCUGCCUAAGCCAUGUGAAUCUCCUUCGACGAGUCGAGUUGUUUGGGAAUGCAGCUCUAAAUGGGAGGUAAAUUUCUUCUAAAGCUAAAUACCGGCCAGAGACCGAUAGCGCACAAGUAGAGUGAUCGAAAGACGAAAAGCACUUUGGAAAGAGAGUUAAAAAGUACGUGAAAUUGUUGAAAGGGAAGCGCUUGCAGCCAGACUUGUCCGCAGUUGCUCAGCCGGUCUCCUGACCGGUGUCCUCUUCUGCGGCCAGGCCAGCAUCAGUUCGGGCGGUCGGAUAAAGACCUCGGGAAUGUA